UACAGAGGGUGCAAGCGUUAAUCGGAAUUACUGGGCGUAAAGCGCGCGUAGGUGGUUUGUUAAGUUGAAUGUGAAAUCCCCGGGCUCAACCUGGGAACUGCAUGCAAAACUGGCAAGCUAGAGUAUGGUAGAGGGUGGUGGAAUUGUCCUGUGUAGCGGUGAAAUGCGUAGAUAUAGGAAGGAACACCAGUGGCGAAGGCGACCACCUGGACUGAUACUGACACUGAGGUGCGAAAAGCGUGGGGAGCAAACAGG
rnacentral:rRNA from 1 species